GUUAUGUUAGUUCUAGUUUGGCAGGGGGAAGAUAGCAAAGAAGUUUGAGCCAAAGACUCAGUGAUAUUUGUGAACUUGAUUCGUGUCCUCUAAAAUGUGUAAGUGCAUACUUUCUCUGUCAUUUAGAGACUUAUAGCUGGAGAAAUGGGCUAAGAUUUCAGAUUUCCAAAUGUUGGAUUUCUUUAUACUUAAAUAAUUAUUAUCAAUAAGUUUUUAUUUGGACUAGUUUUGUUUGGAGUAGUAAUUUAAAAUAAAAUAAAUAUAUUUUCAAAGAAUGAAAUCUGAAGUUAUAAACAGGAGUGUUAUUUACAUUUUUGUACAUUAAGUUAGCAUUUAAGAACGUUUAGCCAUUUGCAUAAGAAUUCAGUAUUUGAAAGCAUUAAAUAAUACAAAAUUUUCAAACCCUCCAUGCUAAUUUUUCAUAUUUGAACUUUCUGGAAUGCCUUUUCUGCCCACUUGUUGUCCAUGUCCAAGUAGAAUCUUUUAAAAUUCUGAACUAUGGUGAUAGGUUUUGUGUAGAAGAGAUCCACAGAUAGGUUUAUUUAUCUUAAAAUGUAACUCAAUAUUCUGAAGUCAUACUGAAAAAUUCUGUGGACAGUAAGUAGUUUCAGAUGCUAACGAUUUUCAGGGAUGAAUCACAUGACAGCUGAAAAAAUACCAUGGAAACAUCAUAGACUAGAAGUAGGCAUGUGAGUUCCAUAUUACUGCAUGAGAAAGCAUAUAUAGAUAUAGAUAUAGAUAUAGAUAUAGAUAUAGAUAUAGAUAUAGAUAUACACAUAUAUAUGGAUAUAUAUAUAGAUACACAUAUAUAUAUGGGGGAUUCAUUUUAUAACUUUUUCAAAAUCCACACACAUAUAUAUAUAUGUAUGUAUUUUAGAAGUUAAGAGGAAAAGAAAGGUGUAAUAAAAGUACUUUAUAUGUUUUGGUAUACUUAAAUCCAUAUACAUUAUGUUUAUAAUUAUAAAUAUGUUCUCUAACAUUUUCUUAAUAUUUGGCCAGACAAUUGCUGUGAUGAUGGCACAUACCCGAUCACAGAAUUAAACUGCAUUGUGAGUUUGUGCCACAGCCCAUGGUGAUGGAAAAGGAGAUUGAACCUAAAGAUUCUCCAGGACUGGAGCUCUGUCUACUAUUUGCUAAUGAACUUUAGAGGCUGCCUGUGGGAGUGAAAUUGUUAUAGUGUAUCAUAUUGGUGGUUAAUCAGAAUUUAUAACCACAGGAAAUAGUUUUAUAAUUCUGGACUUCUUGUAUAAAAUUCUGUUGGGGUAGAGUGUGUUUUUCGUACUUCUCUGACAAAGAUGCAUCUGGUACUUCCCAGGCCAUUUAUCUGACCUGAGUUUUCCAGUUUAAUCGGAUUGAGGGAGAAGGGAGGGAUUCCCAUGAUCCGUCAAGGAAAGAGUAUUUUAGCAAUAAUUUUGCCUUUAAAAACGCUAAAAUCUAAAGAGAGUAAAGAUCAAAUCUGGAAUAAAUAUUUGAAAUAAAGAAGUGCCGAAGAACACUGUGUGCUUAGGAGGUUUUGAAAAGACACUUAAGAAUGCGAGGAGGAUAUCUGCGUUGGCCUGGUUCUAGUACAGAUUUCCAGCCCCAGCUUUUUCCAGCAAUGCUUGGUGGUUAUUUUACUCAACCUUCCUUACAUUUCCUAUAAUUGCUAUUAAAAAUCUCACCCAUUUCCAACUUGAGCCCUUUUAUUACCACAAACCUAAGUAAAAUCUCCUUGCCUCUGAAGCCAUUAAGAAAACAAUUUCCACUGGGUGUGAAGUCAUUCUACACAUUUUUUUUUUUUUUGUCUUCUUUCUUCCCUGCUGCAGAGAAAUUUCCAUUCUCCUUCACUAGGGAGAAUUAGCAGUGUUUGAAGCCACGUCCUCAGGACAUUUUUUCAAUACGUGUCCCCACCCCACCCCCUCGCCUCUGCCACAUUGCAUGUAUUUUUGAACCCUUAUCUUUUUUGCUAGCUCGUUUUUCGUCAAAACUUCCUCACCCUAAACAGAUACUUUCUCAUAUGACUGCUUUUCUUUACUAGCUACACUGUGUUUCUUUCUCUUGUUACCUAGAUUCUUUUAAAAAGCAAUGGUCCUACUGUCUCUUUUUUCUUAUCGCUUACUGAUUUACUUUUUUAUUUGUUUGUUUUAAAGUUUAUAGACUUAUUUGUCCCUCUUCCAACUAGCCAUCUUCCAGUCACUCAUCUGAAUCUUCAGCCUGCUUGUCAUAUUUGCACAUUCCCACUCUUAACACUUCUUGCAAUUCUUGUUUUCUGGCUUCCAGAUAGCAUUCUCUCCUGGGCUUCUUAUUAUUUUUAUACUUGUUUUUCCUAAGACUUCUUUGCUGGCUUUUCUUCUGUUAAAUGAUACUUUUCAAAAGGUAAAAACAUAACUCUGACGUAAGUAUAAAAUGGACACAUAAAGAAUUUUAUUCAACUCAUUAAUGAAGGAGAGAGAUGCUAAAUCUUGUUCAAAAAGCUUUGUAAAGGGUAGGGUGUGUGAGUAUGUGUGUGAUGUCAAUUUAAUAAACAUUAGGACAAAACUGCUGAGUUAGAUGAUUAAUCAAGUCUCAAAUAUCUCAUAGGACAAUAAGUCAUAUUUUUGUCGUUAAUUUUUUAUCUUACAGCCCAAUUGAGUUUUCACACAUCCACUUUCUUCCUCAACAUUUCAUUCUUGUUUAUGGUGCUUGAGCAUUGUGUUAGCUUCCUAUUGCUGCCAUUAAAAAUUACCACAAACUUGUGGCUGAAAGCAUCACAAAUUUAUUAUCUUACAGACCUGGAGGUCAGAAGUUCAAAAUGGGUUUCACUGGACUAAAAUCAAGGUGUCAGCAUGACUGUGUUGCUUCUGGAGGCUCUAGGAGACAAUCCAUUUCCUUGCUCUUUGCCGUUACAGGAGGUUGCCCAUAUUCCUUGAUUCAUGCUUCCUUUCUUUCCUCUCGAAAGCCAGCAACUGCAGGUUGAAUGUCAAAUCGUUGGAAUAUCUUUAAGGGGCCAUUAUUCUGCCUAACACAGCCACGUUAGAUUUUUCAUGAAGGAAUUUUUAUUAGGUGUUCCACUGACCAUACAAUUUACUAUAUUAUUAUUAUACAUUCUAUGCUUAGCCUUAUUUUUGGUAACAAAACACUGAAAGUGAUAUUGGAUUAUUGGAUCAUUUGCUUGGUUCUUUGCUAUCAACACUGAAAUGUUUGUGAUUCAUUUGAGAAAAAGAUGAAAAACUAAAAGAAAAGAAAGCUUCUAUAGCCAUUUCUUCCUGAUAGUCUUUGCAAGAUCUCACUCAUUUGAUCCUCACUACCAGAUAUUGAGUGUCCUUCACUCUACUAAAACCUUCUGGGUAGUCAAGAAAUUGUUUAUUUGAAAUUAGUUUUAAUUGUACCCAUAAGCCAUGCAGUUUUUGUUUUUAUUUUCCUAGAGACAGAGUCUCACUCUGUUGCCCAGGCUGGAGUGUAGUGGGUCAUUCAUAGCUCACUGUAGCCUUGAACUUCUGUACUCAUGGGGUCCUAUAGCCUCAGCAUCCAAGUAGCUAGGACUACAGGAUUGUACCACCAUAUACAGCUAAUAUUUUUUAUUUUUUUGUAGAAAUAGGGGUCUCACUUGUUGCCCAUGCUGGUUUUGAAAUCCUGACCUCAAGCGAUUGUCCUGCCUCAGCCUCCAAAACUACUGGCAUUACAGGCGUGAGCCACUGCACCUGGCUGCCAUGCAGUUUUGAUGCUCACUUAGGAGAAGUAAUCAGUUGGACUACAAAUUUUAGAAAAAUAAAGAGAAAAGAGCUCUCUGGUUAGCAUAUGUCUCUUGCUUACAGACCUGAUUCUUCAGAAGAAGUCAGCAACACCUCAUUUUAUUGCUUCAGAGAUAAUUAAUUCUGAUGGACAAGUGACAUGGUGUGAUAACAAUAUGUAUUAUGUAUUCUUAAAAUUGAAGCUUUUUUCAGUGCUUUUAAUUUGACUUUGGAUUUUCUAAAUGCUACAAAGCUAAACUUGGAGGAGAAUGUAUAAACAUGACUAAUGGGAAUGUGCAAAGGAGAAUGAAAUAACAUUUUAAUUAAAAAGAAAGUGGACUUGAAAUUUGCUAAUAAAAUAGAUUUUAAGUAUUCUUACCACUCAUAUAUACACACGUCAAAAACCACGUGAAAUGAUGUAGAUGUUAUUUAGCAUGAUUUUGGUAAUCAUUUCACAAUGUAUAUGUAUAGUAAAACAUCACACUGUAUACCGUAUACCUUAAAUAUAUACAAUUUUAUUUGUCAGUUGUACCUUAAUAAAGCUGAAAGGAAAGCAAAAGUGAAUUAUAGGCAUAUUCUAGAGCACUAUAGAAAAAUAACAUUUGGCCAUUAUAUUGAAGGCAUAUUUAUAAUCUCUACAAUAAUUAAGAUAUUUUAUUCUUCUUUUCUCUCGUGGACAGUGUAAACCAAUACAAAAAAUAAUUUCAUUUUAAGGUUCUAGAAUUUUAGGUGUUUGAAAUCAAGCAGUUAUUAAUAGAUGCUUAUGUUACAAAUCAACAUUAAACAUGUAUGUAUUGGUUUGAAUUAAUUCAUGUAUUAGAAAGUAGGAAUUUA
rnacentral:lncRNA from 10 species